rnacentral:sRNA from 1 species
UUUUUUGGCACCUUAUUUUAGGCCUAUAGUAUUGAUUUUAGACUCAGUGGCUAGGAGAAUUAUUACUUUAGUGGAAUUGUCACACUAAUUUCAAUGGAACUAUUUUUUUUUAGAUGCGCAUGAUGCAACUUCCUGGAUGGUGCUGAGCCUGUUUGUCAACAUCUGGAACCCACGUGUACUUGGGGAAAAAGGGAUUCCACUCUGCAGGGAAAUAGAUAACAAAGCAACAGCGAAUUCUAACCACAAGAUACGUCUGCUGUAUCGGUUACAGAGGAAACAGCUUACCAAAAGCUAUCGACGAAAUCUACAACUUCCGCCCAUAACGGGCACCAAGUAUACCGAAUCUACCCUACUUCUUAUAGAUUACCAUAAUGACAGGAAAUUUACACUGAUGUAGUGAUUGCAUAAAAAAGCAGACGAUUUAAAAGUGAUCACGCAACGAAACAAACGAAGACGAGGGCGGGAAUACCCCAUAUUGUGUCAUGAGUAGCAGUCGGUGCGAACAUUCUGUUAUUAAGGAGAACUGUAUAUUCUCGCUGUUUUCACAUGCCUACUCAAGGUAUCUCCUUUAAAGAUACGAAUAAUUUGUGAUGAAAAGAAAGAAUACUAUAAAUGUCUUUCAGUUUUCUUUUUCUCUUUGUUUUGCCUGAUGACGGCAUUUGGAAACUAACAAAAUGAUGUAGUGCGUAAUGAGUUCAUCAAAUAAAUUAAGCUGUCAAAGACCAUAU